rnacentral:rRNA from 1 species
AUUGAACGCUGGCGGCAGGCCUAACACAUGCAAGUCGAGCGGAUGAAGGGAGCUUGCUCCUGGAUUCAGCGGCGGACGGGUGAGUAAUGCCUAGGAAUCUGCCUGGUAGUGGGGGAUAACGUCCGGAAACGGGCGCUAAUACCGCAUACGUCCUGAGGGAGAAAGUGGGGGAUCUUCGGACCUCACGCUAUCAGAUGAGCCUAGGUCGGAUUAGCUAGUUGGUGGGGUAAAGGCCUACCAAGGCGACGAUCCGUAACUGGUCUGAGAGGAUGAUCAGUCACACUGGAGCUGAGACACGGUCCAGACUCCUACGGGAGGCAGCAGUGGGGAAUAUUGGACAAUGGGCGAAAGCCUGAUCCAGCCAUGCCGCGUGUGUGAAGAAGGUCUUCGGAUUGUAAAGCACUUUAAGUUGGGAGGAAGGGCAGUAAGUUAAUACCUUGCUGUUUUGACGUUACCAACAGAAUAAGCACCGGCUAACUUCGU